UCAGUGAGUAGAAGCUGUCAGCCGGCACAUUCCGGUGGGUCAUUGCUCUGCCG
rnacentral:ncRNA from 1 species